CCUACGGGUGGCAGCAGUGAGGAAUAUUGGUCAAUGGGCGUAAGCCUGAACCAGCCAAGUCGCGUGAGGGAUGAAGGUUCUAUGGAUCGUAAACCUCUUUUAUAAGGGAAUAAAGUGUGGGACGUGUCCUAUUUUGUAUGUAACUUAUGAAUAAGGAUCGGCUAAAUCCGUGCCAGCAGCCGCGGUAAUCCGGAGGAUCCGAGCGUUAUCAGGAUUUAUUGGGUUUAAAGGGUGCGUAGGCGGCCUUUUAAGUGAGCGGUGAAAGUCUGUGGCUCAACCAUAGAAUUGCCGUUGAAACUGGGGGGCUUGAGUAUGUGUGAGGCAGGCGGAAUGCGUGGUGUAGCGGUGAAAUGCUUAGAUAUCACGCAGAACCCCGAUUGCGAAGGCAGCCUGCCGGGCCAUGACUGACGCUGAUGCACGAAAGCGUGGGGAUCAAACAGGAUUAGAUACCCUAGUAGUC
rnacentral:rRNA from 1 species